GCCGAAGUGGCGGAAUUGGUAGACGCGCACGUUUGAGGGGCGUGUGGCGCAAGCCAUGCCGGUUCGAGUCCGGCCUUCGGCACCA
rnacentral:tRNA from 5 species